rnacentral:rRNA from 1 species
GACGAACGCUGGCGGCGUGUUUAACACAUGCAAGUCGAGCGAUGAAAGCCUUAUGAACUAUUCGUAGUGAUUGGGGCCGGAUUAGCGGCGGACGGGUGAGUAACGCGUGAGCAACCUGCCUUAAACAACGGGAUAGCCUCGGGAAACCGGGAUUAAUAACGUAUGAGACCCCGCCUUCCCAUGAAGAAGAGGUUAAAGAUUUAUCGGUUUAAGAUGGGCUCGCGUCUGAUUAGCUAGUUGGUGAGAUAAAAGCCCACCAAGGCAACGAUCAGUAACCGGCUUGAGAGAGUGAACGGUCACAUUGGAACUGAGAAACGGUCCAAACUCCUACGGGAGGCAGCAGUGGGGAAUAUUGCACAAUGGGGGAAACCCUGAUGCAGCGACGCCGCGUGAGCGAUGAAGGAAUUCGUUUCGUAAAGCUCUGUCCAAGGGGAAGAUAAUGGCAGUACCCUUGGAGGAAGCCCCGGCUAAAUACGUGCCAGCAGCCGCCGUAA